UGUAAAUGAUGAAUGUUAUAUUUGCUAUCUGAUGGAUAAUGUUGACAGCUAUAUACCACCAAGAUCUCUGAUACA